rnacentral:lncRNA from 1 species
AAAAUAAAAAAAAUAAUAAAAAACAAUCGUUAUACCGGGUCAACUAGAUGAGGGUCCUCGCACCGCGUGGUGACUCCCGGUGGCCAGUUACUCGCCGCCGAAGAGCGCCCCGAUUCGCUCCCCGCAUUACUUUACCGUCGGCGUGAUUGGAGAGCUCUUUUAAGCGGUCCAAAACUAUCACCAAAUCAACCACGACCCACAGAA